rnacentral:rRNA from 1 species
UACGUAGGGUGCAAGCGUUAAUCGGAAUUACUGGGCGUAAAGCGUGCGCAGGCGGUUUUGUAAGUCUGUCGUGAAAGCCCCGGGCUCAACCUGGGAAUUGCAUUUGAAACUGGGGAACUAGAGUGAGUGAGAGGGGGGUAGAAUUCCAAGUGUAGCGGUGAAAUGCGUAGAGAUGUGGAGGAACACCGAUGGCGAAGGCAG